ACAGGGUGACAGGUGGUGCAUGGUUGUCGGUCAGCUCGUGUCGUGAGAUGUUCGGGUUAAGUCCCGCAACGAGCGCAACCCUCGACCUUAGUUGCCAGCAUUCAGUUGGGGCACUCUAAGGUGACUGCCGGCUAAAAAGUCGGAGGAAGGUGGGGAUGACGUCAAAUCAUCAUGCCCCUUAUGACCUGGGCUACACACGUGCUACAAUGGGCGGUACAAAGGGUCGCGAACCCGCGAGGGGGAGCCAAUCCCAAAAAGCCGCUCUCAGUUCGGAUUGCAGGCUGCAACUCGCCUGCAUGAAGCCGGAAUCGCUAGUAAUCGCGGAUCAGCAUGCCGCGGUGAAUACGUUCCCGGGCCUU
rnacentral:rRNA from 1 species